ACCCCUAACAACAACAAAUGUCUCAGCAGCAGCCCCAGGUAUUUUCCAAACCUUUGAACUCUUUAUCUUCUAUGUCUAUUUAGGGAAUGACAUUGAAUAUAUGCACAUUCUACUAGGAGGGAAUACAACCUUUUUUUUUUUGUCAUUGUUUGUAUUUCUCCUAUUCAAUUUCUUAACAUUUGUGUGACACUAGGCGAAGAAAAUGAGUUGCUAGAGAAGUAGUAACUUAAAAUAGGUAGCACCAAUUUAUUCAUCACAUCACAUUUUAUUCCUCAUGGGUAGCAAAUGGACUUAUGUUUUGCAGUAAUCUGCUGGUCAAAGGAAUUGCUGAGAGCUUCCUAACAACAAAAACAUUGAUGUAGAAAAGCGGAACACGUGGAUUUUUCAGUUGAGUGUAGAGGUAGUUUAGUUUAUUAUCUGUAGGUUAGUUGCUUGGAGACCAUUUAUGUUUUGGUCGGCUGUCUGUUUCUGUAGUUGCCUCUUUUCUAUUUCCUUCUUUGUCGGCCUAUUGCACUCUUGGACAUUUCACUUAUAUGCGGUCUAGUUAUGUUAAGGGCCACACAGAGAUCUAGGACGUCUUUUUUGCACCUCAACAGUUUUGGCUUGUCAAAUGUUUAUUUUGAUGAAUCAUGGUGCUUUUUCUUAAUAAUUUUCAUUUCUUGAUAAUUGGUUUUGUUUACCAUUUCAAUCAUUACAUCUUGUGUCGGGUUAAUUACCAUUUUUAAAUUCAGAUGGCUUGUUAGUUUGUUCUGUUAAGGGUGCUCAGAUGUUGUCAUUAAAAAGAUUGUAAAUUGCUUGGUUUGCUGCUUGAUUUGAGGCAAUUUUGUGUUUAGGUGGUACCAUAGAUCUGUUUUGAUUCCUGUUGCCUCAAGUUGGGGUUAUAAUUUGUGAAGGGUGGAGUAAGUUACUUGUCAAAAA
rnacentral:lncRNA from 1 species